UACGAAGGGGGCUAGCGUUGCUCGGAAUCACUGGGCGUAAAGCGCACGUAGGCGGAUCUUUAAGUCAGGGGUGAAAUCCUGGACUCAACUCCAGAACUGCCUUUGAUACUGGGGAUCUCGAGUCCGGAAGAGGUGAGUGGAACUCCGAGUGUAGAGGUGAAAUUCGUAGAUAUUCGGAAGAACACCAGUGGCGAAGGCGGCUCACUGGUCCGGUACUGACGCUGAGGUGCGAAAGCGUGGGGAGCAAACAGG
rnacentral:rRNA from 1 species